CAUUAGUACUCGUUAAAAAGCAGAAUUCUCGAAGUUUAAGAAAUCUGUGUAAGAGAAACAAAAUGGUGUACUUAUUAGCUGCCAUUUUGCUUUCUCGUUUAAUUCCAGGAACUACGAAAAUGGAGGUCCUUUGUUUAAAGUUGCACGAAUUUCUAUUAUUUCGGCGGAAUCAACAAGGAUAGCGAAUAGCCAUACAAUAAGUCUAACUACGCAAUACCGAAUAUGCCACAUUUAAAAGAGGAAGUGAGGAUUGCUUGCGCCCUAAUAAAUGCCUUCGGAAAACGGGUGACAGAUCACCCACUCGUAAAUGAAAUAAUCAACGAUAUAUACCUUAAGCACGACGCCCCAAACUAUCUGUGCGAGUUUGUAAUACAAAACAAUUUAAAUCAACGCAGAGCCGCUUUCCAAGCUAUGAACUCAAGUGAAGGCUUUCAACAGUUUCCCAUCUUAUCAUAUGAGGAUCUGUUGAUAAUGUCUCUGGGGCCGUAUCAAGUGACGCAGGCAAGAAGCUACUAUGGCGAACACCUAAAAGAAAACGGAACGUUUUUCAUUGAAGUGUAUGAAGAUUUUGAAGUUGACUAUAAUUUAAAUCAAUACAACAUAGUAGUUUGUGAUCCUUGGCUGACAAGAGCUAAAAUACUCUCGAGGCACCAGAGCAACAGAAUUUAUUUUGUAUAUAUCUUGCUAAAUAAUAGUUUGAAAAACAGAAAUAAACUUGUCGGUCACUAUUGCAGCUGUAUAGUUGGAAAACGGACACUCGGGUGCUGUGCUCAUGUCAUGUGCAUAGUUUGGUAUAUGGGAUGGGCUCGGCACCAAGCAAUUCAACCCCCUGCUGCCUUUUUAGAUCAAGUUAUUAUUUCUGAUGAAGAAGAAGAUUGAUUAUUCAAGAAGACUGAUAUUCAUUAUCCUAAUAGGUACGAAUUUGUAUAAAAAAAGCCUAUUUGUUAUAAGUAUAUACACUGUAUGUAUUCAAUAACAAUUAGUAUUGAUUUCAUUUUAAGCAAAAUAUAAAUAACUAUAUGACUACU